rnacentral:rRNA from 1 species
ACCCGACUGCUAUCGGAUUGAGAUUUAGCCAUGCGAGUCGAACGUCCCCUGUUGCGGGGGGCGUGGCGUACGGCCCAGUAACACGUAGUCAACUGCCCUGGAGACAAGGACAACCCCGGGAAACUGGGAUUAAUCCUUGAUAGGUCAUCUCAUCUGGAAGGAGAGAUGGCUUAAAGGGGUACGCGGGCUUCUUCCGCGAAUCUGCUCCAGGAUGGGACUGCGUCCGAUCAGGCUGUUGGCGGGGUAAUGGCCCACCAAACCUGUAACCGGUACGGGCCUUGAGAGAGGUGGCCCGGAGAUGGACACUGAGAGAAGGGUCCAGGUCCUACGGGGCGCAGCAGGCGCGAAACCUUCGCAAUGCGCGAAAGCGUGACGAGGUUAAUCCGAGUGACUUCCGCUGAGGAGGUCUUUUGUCAGCUGUAAAUAGGCAGGCGAAUAAGGGGAGGGCAAGCCUGGUGUCAGCCGCCGCGGUAAUACCAGCUCCUCGAGUAGUCGGGGCGAUUAUUGGGCCUAAAGCAUCCGUAGCCGGUUCCGUAGGUCCUCUGUUAAAUCCAACCGCUUAACGGUUGACCUGCAGAGGAUACCGCGGGACUAGGAGGCGGGAGAGGCGGACGGUACUCCGCGUGUAGGGGUAAAAUCCUUUGAUCCGCGGAAGACCACCAGUGGCGAAGGCGGUCCGCCAGAACGCGCUCGACGGUGAGGGAUGAAAGCUGGGGGAGCGAACCGGAUUAGAUACCCGGGUAGUCCCAGCCGUAAACGAUGCUAGCUAGAUGAUUCAUUCGCAAGUCGCGAAUGAAGUGUCGCAGGGAAGCCGUUAAGCUAGCCGCCUGGGGAGUACGGUCGCAAGACUGAAACUUAA